rnacentral:lncRNA from 1 species
GAAGAGGGCCUGGCGGCUGGGUGCUACGGUAGGAAGAUCCCGGUGCUGUGGGAGUGGAACAGAUGGUUGAAUGCCAGGCUGGCUUGGUCCUUCUCUCUGGGUGCCGGCUGUGGCUCCCGCCCAGGCCCACUGCUCAGUGGAGCGUGGAGGACGAGGAGGAGGCUGUCCACGAGCAAUGCCAGCAUGAGAGAGACAGGCAGCUUCAGGCGCAGGACGAGGAGGGAGGCGGCCAUGUCCCCGAGCGGCCGAAGCAGGAGAUGCUGUGAGCAGCCCCCUAACGCGUGCCUGGGCUCUAGCCCCUA